CCCAUUUCCCCUUGGCCAUGAAGGAGAGAAGCUCGUUUUACUGAGGCAUGCAUUCCCUCCACACAUGAUUUAUAAUGUGGAUAAGUCAGGUGUCUUUACAGUACAAAAGCCACAGCAGCUAAGUGCCAUCAAAGUUGUGCCGCGCGCCAGAGCCAGUGAGUGCAUGCAU